UACGGAGGAUGCAAGCGUUAUCCGGAAUCAUUGGGCGUAAAGGGUCCUGAGGUGGUUUGCUAAGUCUACUGUGAAAGAUCAGGGCUCAACCCUGAAAAUGCGGUGGAAACUGGCAGGCUAGAAUACGGUAGGGGCAGGGGGAAUUCCCGGUGUAGCGGUGAAAUGCAUAGAUAUGCGGAGGAACACCGAUGGCGAAGGCAAUCCCCUGGGCCUGCACUGACGCUCAUGCACGAAAGCGUGGGGAGCAAACAGG
rnacentral:rRNA from 1 species